UGGGGAAUAUUGGACAAUGGACCAAAAGUCUGAUCCAGCAAUUCUGUGUGCACGAUGACGUUUUUCGGAAUGUAAAGUGCUUUCAGUUGGGAAGAAAAAAAUGACGGUACCAACAGAAGAAGUGACGGCUAAAUACGUGCCAGCAGCCGCGGUAAUACGUAUGUCACAAGCGUUAUCCGGAUUUAUUGGGCGUAAAGCGCGUCUAGGUGGUUAUGUGAGUCUGAUGUGAAAAUGCAGGGCUCAACUCUGUAUUGCGUUGGAAACUGCAUGACUAGAGUACUGGAGAGGUAAGCGGAACUACAAGUGUAGAGGUGAAAUUCGUAGAUAUUUGUAGGAAUGCCGAUGGGGAAGCCAGCUUACUGGACAGAUACUGACGCUAAAGCGCGAAAGCGUGGGUAGCAAACAGGAUUAGAUACCCUGGUAGUCCACGCCGUAAACGAUGAUUACUAGGUGUUGGGGGUCGAACCUCAGCGCCCAAGCUAACGCGAUAAGUAAUCCGCCUGGGGAGUACGUACGCAAGUAUG
rnacentral:rRNA from 1 species